rnacentral:tRNA from 3 species
GCCCCGGUAGCCCAGCGGUAGAGGCGAUGGAUUCAAAACCCAUUCAGCGUCGGUUCGAAUCCGACCCGGGGUAC